CCUACGGGUGGCAGCAGUGAGGAAUAUUGGUCAAUGGGCGGAAGCCUGAACCAGCCAAGUCGCGUGAGGGAAUAAGGCCCUACGGGUCGUAAACCUCUUUUGCCGGGGAGCAAGGGCGGGGACGUGUCCCGGCCCGGAGAGUACCCGGAGAAAAAGCAUCGGCUAACUCCGUGCCAGCAGCCGCGGUAAUACGGAGGAUCCGAGCGUUAUCCGGAUUUAUUGGGUUUAAAGGGUGCGUAGGCGGCCUUUUAAGUCAGCGGUGAAAGUCUGUGGCUCAACCAUAGAAUUGCCGUUGAAACUGGGGGGCUUGAGUAUGUUUGAGGCAGGCGGAAUGCGUGGUGUAGCGGUGAAAUGCUUAGAUAUCACGCAGAACCCCGAUUGCGAAGGCAGCCUGCCAAGCCAUGACUGACGCUGAUGCACGAAAGCGUGGGGAUCAAACAGGAUUAGAUACCCUUGUAGUC
rnacentral:rRNA from 1 species